CACAGCCACGAUAUACUAAACCAUAAUAAUACAUCGCAUGUUAUUAUGCAAAUAUUCUCCGACCAUAUUUCAUUGCUAUGUUAUGAAAAUUAUGCUGAUAUUUUUCUAGUUUGCGUUGAAAUAUAUUUCAUCAUGUGGUAGAGCGCCGUCUUUAAUCGAAACAAAACCCCAAUAAUAUGGGCUAUCUCAGUUGAUUUUGUUUAACUCGUUUAUUUAAUGGGCCCGAACGAAACGGCAACGCUGGUAAGUGAAGAUAGAUGUUGAAGUCCUUCCUAUCAAUAGACAACAGCGGAGAUAUAAAUGUGGCUAAGUCCAUCUCAUUACAUUAUGCCCAACUCCGAAGCCCAUCUUUUCAUUUAAAUAAUGAAAAGAACGUUUAACUCGAUUAUUAAACCGAUUGUGAAUAUGUGUUCGUCUACCAAUUGCUGUAAAAGUGCAUUUUUUAUUAUUGUGCGAGCAUUGCUGACGACAAUUAUGGGUACAUUAGAAAAUUAAGGUCGGUGUUAUUGUACUUUAUGAAACACACAAACUAUCGACAAUCUAUCCGUGUAUAAAUAGAUGUAAGCAAUUACGCGUUCAGCCGGCUUGCUUGCUCAUAUAUCUCGUUACAAAGCAAUUCCUUUUCCUUUCGUUCUUCUUUCCUUCUGCCUUUUCUAUGCGGUCAGUCAUGUAUCAAACUCUUCGCAUAUGUAUAUAUAAAAAUGAUGCUGCGUUCCGAUAUAUCAUCAUUUUUUAUAUCAUCGAACAUGUGGUUGUAUAUGCAGACGUAUGCAUAAGUGCAAUAAAUACCGAAGGUAUGCGUAAACAUUUAUUUACAUCUACUGUAACGAUGAUUAUGAUUAUGAUUUACGGUUUAUACUGAUAUGUACGCAAAACGUAACGGAAGAGAAGUUUGAUUAUAUAUGCGAUUUAAUCUUGAUAUUAACUACUAAACCUAACCGAAAAUAUAUUUAAAAUCAAUUAUUUUGAAAUUAAGCAGAGUAAUAAAAAUAUAAAAAAGAAACGAUUUGCAAGAGCAUUACAAUAACUACUUGUUUUAAGGAAUCCCAUACACACAGUUACAACUGUUUAAAUUUCGCGAUUAACUUCUGCUUCUAAUAAAACUGGGAGAGGGAACAGCAAUUUAAAUCUGUCAGUCCGUCCAAGCACAUGCAAAAACUAUGGACAUUGUAUGAUAUCUAAAUUUGCGAUAAUCGGCGAUAUAAUUAAUCGAAUAUCUCGAAUAUCUUGUAUAGACAGAUAUGGAAUCCAUAUGGAUUCUUGAGGCUCAAGAUAAGUUUACGCGGGUAUCUACAUGGAAAUUAUUCGUCAUACAUUAACACUCAUCAGAUACAACUAAUAACUUAAUUCUUCCGCAUAGAAGAGUCCACUAAGAUUCGCUCUUCUAAACAAUAACGCAUCGACGAGUAGCAUCGAUCUCCAAAAAAAAAAAUGUGUUCGGAUAGAAAGGAAGAAAAGAGUAACGAAUAAUAUUUAUAUAUUAGAUCUUCACAUACUGAUACAUACAUCAUACUGAAAAAUACAUCAACAUACGAAGUCGGUUCUACAUAAUUUCACUAAACUUAACAUUAUUUUAUGAAACAUUUAUUAUUGUUUUCAUAUUUUGUUUUUGUAAUUAUAUUGUUGUUUUAAUAAUUAUAUAUUUACAAUGUGGCUGAGUAGUUUUCACACUAAUUUCUUAGUAGUUGACGUUUUUAUAUACAUUAUGAAAAACAUCUUGCGAGAGAUCAUACAAAUUACAAACGUAUUUGCUUGAUCUAGCCUCAUUGGAUACACCUACCGUUUCAUAGUGUGCUCCGGACAAGAAGACAAAGUUACCACUAAUGUCUGGAAUUAGCGAAAGUGAUACCAAGAAUGAGGGAUGAUAUAGCGUUUUCGAUCGAUUUUUAUACAUCAUCAGAUAAUAUUUAUUGAAACAAAGGAACCAUUCCGUCGGAACGGUACAACGGAAUAGAUUAACUAAUCAUAGACACAUUCAGAGUUGAUUCGCAGCCAUCCAACGAGAUAUGCAGUCCAAAUGGUUGUCAAUGUUAGCUUGAUGUAUUUCAAAAUUAUCAAUCCUCCCCGUAAAUAAAAUCUGCAAAUCAUCAGCAAAUGCGUAAGCUGUACACGAAGCUAGGUUAACCAUAUUAAAGAAAUCAUUCAUAUACACGGUGAAGAGCAAAGAGCCAAUGAUCGAGCCCUGAGGUACACCACUGCGCACCUUUAACGACUCACGCUUGACAACACCCACAGAUACAAAUUGUAAACGAUUCGAGAGAUGGCAUUCUAUCAAAGCAAUAUCUGACUUCGAAAAAUGUCCCCCCAUUAGCAUCAUUCUUGUCACGUAAAUACACCUUGUAAGCCAGAUUAUCCGGAGAAAGAUGAAAUUCUACUUCACUAAAACUAAACCAAGGCUUACAGUUGACAACAGUCUUAUGUCUAACUUUGGGCAUAAUCUCAUGAAUGAAAUCCAAAUUAAUGUUCAAAAUAUUGAUCUGAUCAUCCACAUCUGAAGUAUUAUACAUACUAUUUAACUCACAUGCGGCAAUUCUGGACCUCAGUGCCUGGAUAUGGCCAACCUAACAGGAGGUAGCAUUAUAAUAGCACAAUACAAAAUAUUAGCAGAAAAUCGAAAUUCUAAGAAAAGAAAAGAGAUCGCUUAACUUAAGCUUACGACUGGAUAGAAAAACAUUAUCGAGCAAAGAGCAACACCAACAAGGUCAGAAAGUUUUCCUUUCAGGAAAAUUGUUGAACAACUGUACUUGUAUUGUCAUUAAGCAAUCAUUCAACUGAGCUAUCUUCGCCUUGGGGAUGUUGGCGUUAAUCAAGCUAAGCCUUAUAAUGAUCUUCUUUUUCCGUAACGCACGGAAAAUCGAUACUAGUUUGCAGGAGUUGGAUGAUUAUCCAAGUAAAUACGUGAAUGAAUGCUGCCCUCGAAAACGUAGCUCAACAUAUUAGAAGGGUCUUUGACAUAUCCAUUCAUAACCGUAUCGCGUACAAAAUUUAAUUAAAGUCUUCUUUUCAGUGGUUCAGCAGCUAACGUCUCAUUCCGCAUCCCAGCAAUGUUCGCACGAACUUGGUCGCCGUGCUUCAAAAGCCCGGCCCGCAAUUCACUAAUUUCCUGGAGACCAUGAUUAAACUGUUCCAGCAUCUUUUUCUCUAGAUUCAUCAGACCGCUUUCCAAACACGAUCUUCUACACAAAAAGAUAUCCAUUGCAAAGAAAGCAAGACGAUGCUUAACAAAUUAGUUGCGUAUAACGCGCAUAGCCGUCAAUCCAAAACAUCAUUUUAGUGCAUUUGACGUUAAUACGCAUCAGAUGAAAUAAAUAAUUACGAGACGAUAUAAAUAAUCAAAAUUUCUCUUGAAUGUAAUACGAAUCGCGUUUAGUGAUACGUUUGCUUUACA